rnacentral:rRNA from 1 species
CCUACGGGUGGCAGCAGUGGGGAAUAUUGCGCAAUGGGCGAAAGCCUGACGCAGCGACGCCGCGUGAGGGAUGAAGGUCUUCGGAUCGUAAACCUCUGUCAGCAGGGAAGAACGGUCACUGUGCUAAUCAGCAGUGAAUUGACGGUACCUGCAAAGGAAGCACAGGCUAACUCCGUGCCAGCAGCCGCGGUAAUACGGAGGGUGCGAGCGUUAAUCGGAAUUACUGGGCGUAAAGCGCACGUAGGCGGUAUGUCAAGUCAAGGGUGAAAUCCCCGCGCUCAACGUGGGAACUGCCUUUGAAACUGGCAAACUGGGGUGUGUGAGAGAAUAGUGAAAUUCCAGUUGUAGGAGUGAAUGCGGUAGAUAUCUGGAGGAACAUCAGUGGCGAAGGCGACUAUCUGGCACAUAACUGACGCUGAGGAGCGAAAGCGUGGGUAGCAAACAGGAUUAGAUACCCGAGUAGUC